GCUUCACCUUAUGCCGCGUUUAAUACAAACGGGAACUCAGAAAUCUCCGACUUCCAAGCAUUAACGAACUCGGAAAAAACGAAAUAGUUUUUACAUACAAAAGAUAUCUCUCCUGAGCUAUGAGUAUAUGGUGUUCUGGACCCCAGUUCCAUCAUCCCCCUCAAUGACGGAGGGACGGAGGGUUUCAAAGACAAUGCUCGGGUCAUUCUGCCUGGCAUGACUGCAUGCAUCGACUGCAGCCUAGAGCUCUACCCACCACAGAUUAAUUUCCCCAUGUGCACCAUUGCGUCUAUGCCGCGGUUGCCAGAGCACUGCAUUGAAUAUGUCAGAAUGCUACAGUGGCCCAAAGACAAGCCUUUUGGAGGUACAACCACGAAUA